rnacentral:rRNA from 1 species
AGGGCACCACAAGAACGCGUGGAGCAUGUGGCUUAAUUUGACUCAACGCGGGGAAUCUUACCGGGUCCGGACACACUGAGGAUUGACAGACGGUUAUUGACUUAUACUCGCUUAAUGGCUUUAAGCUGUUAAGUGUUUAACACCUUUACACAAAGAUGCUAGUCCUUUCAUGAUCGUUUGAUAGGUGGUGCAUGGCCGUUCUUAGUUCGUGGAGUGAUCUGUCUGCCUAAUUGCGUUUCACUAAGGUCCCAUUCUUCAUACGUAUGAAUAGCGUCUUAACUCACUUUUACCGCUACCUAUUUGUAGUAAGCGCUCAUACUAUUGGGACCGGAAUGCAACGAGCGCGACUGCACCACCUAAUUGCCCCUUAUCUACCAUUAAUUACUUUAUUAACCGCCCUGUACGGGCACCGGGGCCUUACCUUUACUGAAACUAGCUGGACCGCUGCUUUCCUUUAAGCCAGAGGAAGGUUGCGGCAAUAACAGGUCUGUGAUGCCCUCAGAUGUUCCGGGCCGCACACGUGCUACAAUGAUCAGCACAAAGAGUAUUACCUAUCUUCUUAUACCUAACCCAAUAUGUUAAACUUAUUGCGUAAGGGUAUUGUCUUAACGACUUAUCCGCUUUAGCGCUUUAAGAUUAUUGGACGGUUAUGCCUGCCUCGAAAGAGUGUACAGGGCAGCAAGAGUAAUGAUUCCCUCGUUUUUACUACUAAUACCGCGCUUGGUAACAUAUUACACUCGAUUAAGUAGGGUCUUUGCUUUUAAUAGCAAUUGCUAUCCUCACCCUUAGGCUCUAAGGAUAUUACUAUCUCUCUAAGGUCUACAGGGAGGUGUAUAUGGCGCACUUACUUAUUCACGGUGGGGACAGACCAUUGUUAACUG